rnacentral:rRNA from 1 species
UACGAAGGGGGCUAGCGUUGCUCGGAAUCACUGGGCGUAAAGCGCACGUAGGCGGAUCUUUAAGUCGGGGGUGAAAUCCUGGAGCUCAACUCCAGAACUGCCUUCGAUACUGGGGAUCUCGAGUCCGGGAGAGGUGAGUGGAACUCCGAGUGUAGAGGUGAAAUUCGUAGAUAUUCGGAAGAACACCAGUGGCGAAGGCGGCUCACUGGCCCGGUACUGACGCUGAGGUGCGAAAGCGUGGGGAGCAAACAGG